AGUGGGGAAUUUUGGACAAUGGGGGAAACCCUGAUCCAGCCAUCCCGCGUGUGCGAUGAAGGCCUUCGGGUUGUAAAGCACUUUUGGCAGGAAAGAAACGUCAUGGGUUAAUACCCCGUGAAACUGACGGUACCUGCAGAAUAAGCACCGGCUAACUACGUGCCAGCAGCCGCGGUAAUACGUAGGGUGCAAGCGUUAAUCGGAAUUACUGGGCGUAAAGCGUGCGCAGGCGGUUCGGAAAGAAAGAUGUGAAAUCCCAGAGCUUAACUUUGGAACUGCAUUUUUAACUACCGAGCUAGAGUGUGUCAGAGGGAGGUGGAAUUCCGCGUGUAGCAGUGAAAUGCGUAGAUAUGCGGAGGAACACCGAUGGCGAAGGCAGC
rnacentral:rRNA from 1 species